GUUUGUAAAGCUCUGUCGGGAGGGACGAACGAGUCCGGGUAACGCCGGAUUGUGACGGUACCUCCAAAGGAAGCACCGGCUAACUCUGUGCCAGCAGCCGCGGUAAUACAGAGGGUGCAAGCGUUGUACGGAAUAACUGGGCGUAAAGCGCGUGUAAGCGGCGUCGUAAGUCGGAUGUGAAAUCCCUCAGCUCACCUGAGGAAGUGCAUCCGAUACUGCGAUGCUUGAGUGUCAUUAGGGGAUGGCGGAAUUCCCGGAUGUAAAAGGUGAAAUUCAUAGAUAUCGGGAGGAACACCUGUGGAGAAGGCGGACAUCUGGAUGACGACUGACGCUGAAACGCGAAAGCGUGGGUAGCAAACAGGAUUAGA
rnacentral:rRNA from 1 species